rnacentral:rRNA from 1 species
AAUAGCCUAACGGCUGAACCAGCAACUUGGAGGAAUGUAUAGCAAUAGCUAAUUGCACCAAUUGCAAUAUCGAUUUUGUCGAAUAAAGUUCUAGGUAGAGUUAUGAUAAUGACAUUGUCUAUUUAUAUGUCUUGACCAAAUUACGUGCCAGCAGUCGCGGUAAUACGUAGAAGACUAGUGUUAUUCAUCUUUAAUAGGUUUAAAGGGUACCUAGACGGUAAAUCAAGCUUUUUGGGACUAAUUUACUAGAGUUACUUGUGAGGGGGCAUUAAAGUACUAAUGGUGUAGAGAUGAAAUUCUGUAAUACCUAUUUUCGAGAGAAAGUAAUGGCACAAGUAUAGGCGAAAGCAUCCCCUUAUGUGAUAUACCCUGGUAGUCGAAGCAGAAAAUGAUGAGUGUCAUAGAUUAGUUUAUUCUAUAAAUGAAAGUGUAAGCACUCCACCUCAAGAGUAAUUUGGCAACAUUGGAACUGAAAUCAUUAGACCGUUUCUGAAACCAGUAGUGAAGUAUGUUGUUUAAUUUGAUAAUCCGCAAAAAACCUUACCAUGUAUGUCUACAAGCGUUGCACGGCUGUCUUCAGUUAAUGUCGUGAGACUAUGGUUAGUUCCAUUAAAUUAACGUAAACCCUUACUUUAUUUAUAAAUAAAGUCGUUCUCCACUAUAUUGGAUAAGAUAACAGGGACCAAGACAAGUCAUCAUGGCCUGAAUGUUGUGAGCCUUUACAAAAGGAUGUGAAAUUGCGAAAUUAAGCUAAUCCUCUAAAACUGGCUAUACAUUAACAUG